GGAAGAAGCAUUGCAGAGCAAAGAAAAAUGGAAAUGGAGGGGAAGAGCAGCUCAGACUCAGUGACGAUAAUCCACAAUGCAACAAUCGUUACUAUGGACGCCGAGAGCCGAGUCUUCAGAAAUGGCGGGAUCGUUAUCGACCAAGAUAAAAUCAAAGCCAUUGGUCAAUCCCCUGACAUUCUUGCUCAAUUCUCCGCUAUCGCCCACCAUUGUGUCGACCUCCAUGGCCAAUUCUUGCUCCCUGGAUUUAUCAACACGCAUGUUCAUACCUCGCAACAGCUCGCUAGAGGGAUAGCAGACGAUGUGGAUCUAAUGACUUGGUUGCACCAUCGAAUUUGGCCUUAUGAAUCUAACAUGACUGAGCAAGAUUCUUACAUUUCUACGUUACUAUGUGGAAUAGAACUCAUCCACUCUGGGGUUACAUGCUUUGCCGAGGCAGGAGGGCAGCAUGUCUCUGGAAUGGCUCGAGCAGUUGAGGAACUGGGGUUGCGAGCUUGCUUAACUCAGUCUACUAUGGACUCUGGUGAGGGUUUACCUCCGUCGUGGGCCAGUCGAACUUCAGAUGACUGUAUUCAGGUUAAGCAUUACAAAAUUCUCAAGAGUGGCCAUGCAAUAAGUGCAAGUUAUUGUAUUACAUUUAUUUUACAUGCAAAUAUAAAAGAGCUUUAUUUUUUUUAAAAGUAGUUUUUGUUAAGUAUUAUUGCAUUCUCAUUUGUAUCCAUUGUUGAUAGAGUUUUGAAUCUUUUGAUCGAUUUUCAUUUUUCAAACACCAAGCCUUGGUUGAUGCUGAUUUCUCACUUCAAGGGUACAGUCUCAGAAGGAGCUUUACCAGAAGCACCACAACACUGCAGAUGGGCGCAUUAGGAUAUGGCUUGGAAUUAGGCAAAUUAUGAAUUCAACUGAUCGCCUAUUACUUGAAACAAGAGACACAUCUAGGGAACUGAAAACUGGAAUCCAUAUGGUAAUGGUCUCUCUAUCUAUGUGUCUGACAUGCUUACUAUCUGGUACUUUUUGUUCAUAAUUUAGGUGUCUUGCUAUAAGAAAUCUGCUCAGGCAUGUAUGUGUUUGCUUGAUUGGUGUAUGAAAUAUGAAAAAUUUUGUCUAUCUGAUAUUUGUUUUUUUUCCUUUUCAUUCUAAGAAACUGUAAUUGGUUCAUAAUUAAAUAAUUCUUGUAAAGGCAAAUUAAUAAAGGCUGAACUUUGAUGCCAUGGAGAAGAUGCCGAUUUUGAAGUAGAUUCAACUAAUCUUUACAAUCUUUAGCAUGUCUCGGAGAUACCUUACGAGAAUCAACUUGUGAUGGAUACACGAAAAGUUGAACAUGGAACUGUUUCAUACUUGGAGAAGAUAGACUUCCUGCAGAAGAACUUGCUGGCUGCUCACACAGUUUGGGUCAACAAUACUGAGAUUGGUUUUCUUUCAAGAGCUGGGGUCAAAGUAUCUCACUGCCCAGCUUCUGCAAUGCGAAUGCUUGGAUUUGCACCUAUUAAGGAGAUGCUUGAUUCUGGAAUUUGUGUUUCCUUGGGAACGGAUGGCGCACCAUCAAAUAAUAGAAUGAGCAUGGUUGAUGAGAUGUAUCUGACUUCGUUGAUUAAUAAAGGAAGGGAAGUUUUUGCAAAUGGAACGACUGAUCCUACAGCUCUCCCAUCUGAAACAGUUCUCAAAAUGGCAACCAUAAAUGGUGCAAAAACAGUACUCUGGGAUGAUGAAAUUGGAUCAAUUGAGACUGGGAAAAAGGCUGACUUGGUUGUUGUGAAUACUAACUUAUGGUCUAUGGUCCCUGUUCAUGACUGCAUUUCAAGCCUUGUUUACUGCAUGCGGACUGAGAAUAUUGUCUCAGUAAUGUGCAACGGCAAGUGGAUUAUGAAGGAGAAGAAGAUUUUGAAUGUGGAUGAGGGAGAAGUAAUUUCAGUGGCAAAGGAGGCUUCGGGUAAACUCUUGAAGAGAGCUGGUAUCAGCAUCCCAAACAGAAUGAAUGUCCUCUAAUCCUUCCUUUGAAGGUCCACUGUAAUCACUCUUAUUCCCUCCAAAAUCACUCUUAUUCCCUCCAAAAAAAAACAUGUAAUACCUAAUUCCAUACUUCACAAUAGUAAUAAAAAGAAUACCUUGCUAUGAGAGAUCCUUCAGCUUGGUUCUUGUCCUUUUUGUUUUUUUUGGUCUAAAAUGGAGACGUCUCAUUGAAGCCUGAGGGAGGCAAAUUAGAUACAAACAAAGCUUGGCUUAUGGGAUUAAACAUGAAGGAGCUAUCAUUAAGAGCUUUGGCAGCUAGCAAAGCAAAUAUUAAAAAAAUAAUCAAAAUAUUAAAUGGGCCGUAGCCCGUAAGAUGCAGGAUUUGAGUUUUGAAAUCACAAUUCUGACCCAUGAUUCAACGCACCGCGCGCCAACAGAAGAUUCGAAAGUUCUCUAGAACCCUUAGAAGCCUAAAUCUCUCUCCCUGAAUCUUCUGGAACUUCCUGGUCCUCUCCGAAUUCGGAUCAGAAUACCUCCCUAUAUAUACAUAUUUCGCAUUUCAUUUUCAUUAACACCAAAUCAUCUUUCUCAUCACAACACGAAAAAUCAAGCAAACAGGAAUUAGAUUUCUUCUUCGAUAAUGGAUAAUCUCUUCUUCAGGAGCCACCUUAGCUACCCGUCCACCCCUCGCUACUAUUACCCACCUGUCCGACAUGUACCUGUGCACCGCCAGACGACGCCGGUUCAGAAGGUGGUGGAGAUUCCCGUUCGUUAUGUAGAGUCUGCGCCUAGCAGGUUGGAUUCUGUGGUUAAGAUUCAGAAGGUGUUCAGGGGGUUUUUGGUCAGAAAAAGCGUUAGGAAGAUUGCUGCGAUUAGGAGGGAGGUUGAUGAGAUAGAGACGAGGAUUUCGAUGAAGGAAACUGUGGAGCUGAUUCGGAGGGAUUCGAAAGAGCCGUUGAAGGUUAAUGAGAUGCUUAUGAAUUUGUUGUUGAGGUUGGAUUCUGUGCCGGGUGUUGAUUCUGGAGUUAAGGAUUGCAGGAGGGCUGUGAUUAAAAAGGCGAUCAGGUUGCAGGAGAUGGUUGAUGCUAUUGUUGCUGGUGAUCAAGCAUUGGAAGUAGAUGAUUUGGCCAAGAAAGGCGAAGAAGAUGACGACCAAACCCCAGAAAACCAAGAUAGGGCCCCUGACUCUGAAGGUAUUGUUGCUAAUUCUGCUUUUAAUUCCAAUUCUUCGAAGAAAUUGCAAAAUCAUGUUGGAUCUGUACCAAAAAGCGAUUCUGUUUCUAUUGAUGAUGUGGGUGAAUCGGAGAAGAUGCCUGAAGUGUUUGAAGAAACGUCAAAAUUGCAAAACCCAGGACAACAAGACUCUAAAACGGCUCGUGAAGGCCUGGGGGGUGUGGAAGCUGAAGUUGAAGUUAUAGAAGAUGGAAAUAUGGAAGAUAAUGUGUCAUUAUCAGGGAGUGAAUGUGCAGAAAGUGUGGAUGUAAGUCGAGAAGAGAGCCAAGUGGAUUCCUCUGGGAACCCGGAAGAUGAUCCCUUGGAAAACCAUGAAGCUGUAGCUGAUCAGAAUGAAGUAAGAUAUGAGAAAGAGCAAUCUUGUGGCGACAAAAAUGAAGCAAGCGGAAAGAGCAGAGAACUUCUGGAGAGGAUGAUGGAAGACAAUGAGAAAAUGAUGGGGAUGAUGACGGAGUUAUUUGAGAGGAAUGAGAUGCAAACAGGGUUACUGAGCUCACUGUCACAGAGGGUUGAGCAGUUGGAGAGGGCUUUAAUGUGUGAAAGAUCAAAGAGGAAGAAGAAGAAGAGAAAUGCUGUUGUAUUAGUGGAUUGUUUAGAAUCAACACAAGAUGCUAAAAAAUGUGGAAAGAGAUAAUGAAUCUUUAGCACAUGUGAUAAGAGUAAAAUUGAUGUAUGGAUUUUGGGUUUGUUUCUGUAAGUUGAUAUGAAUGUAGAUUCUUUCUUUCAGUUUGUUCAAUUCCCUUUUCUUUCAUUUUCACCUUCUAUUUCUCUUGAAUUUGGAAAUGUGCAUAUUUGCUCCUGGAAGCUCUGCCCACAGUAUUAUUGCAUGCGCAUACUGUGAAGUGUAAAAUGGAAUUACCCAACAUCUCCUUUCAUAGCUCAUUUUGACAAAAUUACCAAGAUUUUAGAUGUGCGUCUUCCCUGUUUUGUAUAGGUGUCUGUGUUCUUUUUAUAGGGAUUGAUUCUUUAAAAUUUCACAUUCCUGUUUCGUAUAUUGGGAUUAGUUCUUUAAAAUCUCAAAUAAUGAUAUAAGGCUCAGCACAUUUUAAUUUAAUGUAUAUAU
rnacentral:misc_RNA from 1 species